UACUACGGCCAUCAGGAGAGGCUGCCUACUAUCUGUCCUCUAAUCAGAUUAUUAGUUGUGGGUGUCAACAGCGCUACGUGGCCACGUUUCGAAAGUUUGUUAGGAUAUUUUAUCUAGUUGCUCAGAUGACCAAUUGGUCGGGGCAUUUAAAUCGAUCAGAUUGACCCUAGACCUCGACAGUGAUAUUCGAAGGGCCAUCAGCAACGAUCGAUUGGUGGAGGGGUGUCGACAACC
rnacentral:lncRNA from 1 species